AAUAAGCACGGCCAUUAGUUUUCGUUUCCAACUUUAAUUGUCAAUCUUAUUUGAAUUUUUUUAUGAUUAGUAUUUUUAUUGUUAUUAGAUUAUAAAAUAUGAAUGAUACUUUAUGUUUGACUUAUUUUUUUAGUUUGUUUUUUGAAAAUUUAAAAUAAGACGAACGAUUAAAGUUGGACACGGAAACUCAUGACUACGCUUAUU
rfam:Oryza glumipatula chromosome 6, whole genome shotgun sequence.